ACGCUUCUUUUUCCACCGGAGCUUGCUCCACCGGAAAAAGAGGAGUGGCGAACGGGUGAGUAACACGUGGGUAACCUGCCCAUCAGAAGGGGAUAACACUUGGAAACAGGUGCUAAUACCGUAUUACAAUCGAAACCGCAUGGUUUUGAUUUGAAAGGCGCUUUCGGGUGUCGCUGAUGGAUGGACCCGCGGUGCAUUAGCUAGUUGGUGAGGUAACGGCUCACCAAGGCGACGAUGCAUAGCCGACCUGAGAGGGUGAUCGGCCACAUUGGGACUGAGACACGGCCCAAACUCCUACGGGAGGCAGCAGUAGGGAAUCUUCGGCAAUGGACGAAAGUCUGACCGAGCAACGCCGCGUGAGUGAAGAAGGUUUUCGGAUCGUAAAACUCUGUUGUUAGAGAAGAACAAGGAUGAGAGUAACUGUUCAUCCCUUGACGGUAUCUAACCAGAAAGCCACGGCUAACUACGUGCCAGCAGCCGCGGUAAUACGUAGGUGGCAAGCGUUGUCCGGAUUUAUUGGGCGUAAAGCGAGCGCAGGCGGUUUCUUAAGUCUGAUGUGAAAGCCCCCGGCUCAACCGGGGAGGGUCAUUGGAAACUGGGAGACUUGAGUGCAGAAGAGGAGAGUGGAAUUCCAUGUGUAGCGGUGAAAUGCGUAGAUAUAUGGAGGAACACCAGUGGCGAAGGCGGCUCUCUGGUCUGUAACUGACGCUGAGGCUCGAAAGCGUGGGGAGCAAACAGGAUUAGAUACCCUGGUAGUCCACGCCGUAAACGAUGAGUGCUAAGUGUUGGAGGGUUUCCGCCCUUCAGUGCUGCAGCUAACGCAUUAAGCACUCCGCCUGGGGAGUACGACCGCAAGGUUGAAACUCAAAGGAAUUGACGGGGGCCCGCACAAGCGGUGGAGCAUGUGGUUUAAUUCGAAGCAACGCGAAGAACCUUACCAGGUCUUGACAUCCUUUGACCACUCUAGAGAUAGAGCUUCCCCUUCGGGGGCAAAGUGACAGGUGGUGCAUGGUUGUCGUCAGCUCGUGUCGUGAGAUG
rnacentral:rRNA from 1 species